rnacentral:rRNA from 1 species
AUGAUGGAAUACUUGAUCCCAUCAGUUUCAGCACCAACAGCACAUACUAAGUGUGCACAAAUGGCUUCCAUUGUGCCCCUUUUCUCUCUACUAUCAUUAUUCUUGUGUUGUGUUCUUGCCAAGAAAGACAUGAAAGUGGCCCCUUUGACAAAUUGGGCUGAUCAUAGAGACCGAUCUCUACAGUCAAAUCAUGUUUUCAGUGUGCUCAGAUAUGGGGCUUACGGGGAUGGACGCCACGACGACACAAAGGCAUUGUCAAAGGCGUGGGCUGCAGCUUGCUCCUCUUUGAAUCCUAGCACUGUGCUCAUCCCCAAGGGCAAGAAAUGCCUGACGAAGCAUGUAACUUUCUUUGGCCCAUGCAAAUCCAGUAUCAAGUUAAUGAUUGAAGGUACUUUGGUAGCUCCUCCAAAGAGAUCAUACUGGAUAGAGGAUACCAUUAGGCACUGGAUUUUGUUCAGAUCUGUGAGAGGUCUUACUGUCACCGGUGGUGGGACCAUUGAUGGAAAUGGAAAAUUUUGGUGGCAGAACUCCUGCAAAGUAAACACAAAACUCGCUUUGACGUUCUAUUCUUGUACAAAUCUGAAAGUGAAUAAUUUAGAAGUGUUGAACAGCCAACAAAUCCACAUAUCAAUGGAGCGUUGCAGCGAUGUAAGGAUGUCACGCCUAUCAAUCAGAGCACCCAGCACUAGCCCCAACACCGACGGCAUCCAUAUCGCCCAUAGUAAGGAUGUGAAAGUCAUGGACUGUGCAAUCAAGACUGGGGACGACUGCAUGUCAAUUGAGGAUGGGACUGAGAAUCUACAUGUCAAGAACAUCGUGUGUGGACCAGGGCAUGGGAUAAGCAUUGGGAGCUUAGGUGAUCGCAACUCUCAAGCUCAAGUUGCAAACAUCACCAUUGACGGGGUGCGACUGCACGACACGGCGAAUGGAGCUCGUAUCAAGACAUGGCAGGGUGGGCGGGGUUAUGCAAAGAAUAUUGUGUUCAAGAACAUGAUAAUGGAUAAUGUACGGAACCCGAUCAUUAUCGACCAGAACUACUGCGACUCGGCUACACCAUGUAAUAAACAGAAAGUGGCUGUGGAGGUGAGCAAUCUGUUGUUUAAGAACAUUAGGGGGACAAGUGCCUCAAGAGAGGCUAUCAAGCUCAGUUGCAGUAAAGCUGUACCUUGCCAUGGGAUAGCCUUGCACAACGUCAGGCUUACUCUAAAACGAGGGGGUGGUGAUGCAAAGAGCACCUGUCAGAAUGCAAAAUGGAGGAAAUUGGGAACAGUUAUGCCACAGCCAUGUAGUCUCAACGAUUGA